AAUUAAUGUAUUGAAAUGUAGCUAUUAUAUUAUAUUCCUAAUAAGAGAUUUAUAUUUUUUAUUUUUUUAAAGUUUUACUAAUACUAUUUUAUAUAUUAUAAUUAAUAAUUCUUAAACAUAGAAACAAGCACAUUCAUGAGAAAUAUUUUAAUAAAAUUUGUAAUGUUUCUAUAUAUAUAUUGUAGUUUUAGUAUAAGACACAGGGAAAUCCACUUUGCUCAGUCCUUCUAACCAAUCUUCCUCUUUCUUCAAAUUUUUGACGAUGAAACCCUCUCUAAUUAUCCUUUCCCUAUUGAAUUUUCUAAUGUCCCUCGACUUAGCAGUCGAACCGCGAGCUGGUUCUUACAAUAUUAAACAAUACUAUAAGAUUCCAUUGGAAGUGGUUCAAAUAAGAAAGAAUACGAAAGAAGAAGGAAAGUGACGCAUGCGUGUUGUAUGUCCUUAUCGAUUGCAGUGAUCUGGAUUUACCCAGAGUUCCUCUUACUAAACCGUAAUGGCGUCUUCUUGUGAUCGUAGUAUGUUUAUUCAAGGAAAAACUUUAAAUAGUCAAGUUCGAACGAUUAUUUUUAAUGUUUUUAAUUAUCUAAAGGAAAGUAAAUCUGGAGAUAGUAACGAUGCAAUUAUUAAAGAGACCAGCAAAGCAAUAGGCGUAUCAUAUUCAACCUGUCGAAGAAUAAUUGUGGACAGAACCACACCGGAUUCGGAAGAAAUAAUUCGAACCCCAGGUAAAAACGAUCAAGGAUAUCCGUAUUAACUGAUGUAGAUGAAUUUGAUCUUUCUGUUAUUCGGGCAACUGUGUCAGAAAUUUU
rnacentral:lncRNA from 1 species